AUUGAACGCUGGCGGCAUGCCUUACACAUGCAAGUCGAACGGUAACGCGGGGCAACCUGGCGACGAGUGGCGAACGGGUGAGUAACGCAUCGGAACGAGCCCAGUAGUGGGGGAUAGCCCGGCGAAAGCCGGAUUAAUACCGCAUACGACCUACGGGUGAAAGGGGGGGAUCGCAAGACCUCUCGCUAUUGGAGCGGCCGAUGUCAGAUUAGGUAGUUGGUGGGGUAAAGGCCUACCAAGCCGACGAUCUGUAGCUGGUCUGAGAGGACGACCAGCCACACUGGGACUGAGACACGGCCCAGACUCCUACGGGAGGCAGCAGUGGGGAAUUUUGGACAAUGGGCGAAAGCCUGAUCCAGCCAUGCCGCGUGCGGGAAGAAGGCCUUCGGGUUGUAAGCCGCUUUUGUCAGGGAAGAAAUCUUCUGGGUUAAUACCUCGGGAGGAUGACGGUACCUGAAGAAUAAGCACCGGCUAACUAUGUGCCAGCCGCCGCCGUAA
rnacentral:rRNA from 1 species